UCCAUGGUGGCUCAGAUGGUAAAGAAUCUGCCUGUAAUGCAGAAGACCCAGGUUCAAUCCCUGGGUCAGGAA
rnacentral:tRNA from 1 species